CGCGCGGCCUCUCUGGGGCUCCGUGAGCCGCGCUGAUUGUCCUUCCCUAUUCACCCGGCACAGACCGCGGUGACAAAGACUCCUUUCAGCGCGCACUGUAAAAGCAUGCGAGGAGAAAGGAGACGCAGAAGACAAUGAAGAAGAAGAAAAGAAAAAACGAAAACAGGAAAAAAAAGAAAGAAGUUGGGGGGCGGAUAAGCAAGAGAGGAGGACUAGAGAAGGAUGAAUGGGGACGUGGCUGGAAGCUCUGAAGCUGUGAAGUGUUACUCUGCCUUCCUGUCAGAGGUGGUGCAGGCAGAGAAGGUGGAGAAGCCUCUCCAAAUGACUCAGUGUUAUCACAGCUCAAGGCCUACGGCGAGAGCAGAGGGAAACGGGACUGGUGCGGACUGUCAUGUGGGCACUCCAGCCAGCCAGGGCUCCCCCACAGUCUCUGAGAGACGUUUGGGCAUCACUGUUGGAACACUGCACACUAAUACGACUCCAGACUCUCUCCCUGGGCUGGACGACUGGAGAAACAUGCUCCGGUUGGGACAGCCAGCCAGCAUUCCGAAUGUGUAGGACUGGGACAAAGCGAAAUACUCAACAAUUGGUAAACCUUUUCAGCUUCGUCCAUAAGACUUCAAACACACAGGACCAACCUUCAAGACUGCUGGACUACUGCAAUGUCUGUCUGCCUCAACCCAACAUUCUCUCACUCUGAGAGGAGAGACAGUGACUAAAGCACCACCCUGCACCUCCACCCAACAGGGUCUCUGCAUCCUCUACGUUCUCCAUCCGUUUUAAUCAAGGGCUACAGAAUUGAUAUGCUUCACUCACUCUCUGCAAUAAAUAUUUCAGCCCUUGCAAUGAACAACCAUAUAUCAGCCAUUUUCCCUUCUUGUGUAAUCAGAUAUUUUAGUUUUUGAUUUUCUACAACAGUUACAUUAAAAUUCCAUUAAAAUUCGAAAUAUGUUUUAUUUAGACUUACCUUUCUUCAU